rnacentral:rRNA from 1 species
UACGAAGGGGGCUAGCGUUGCUCGGAAUCACUGGGCGUAAAGGCGCGUAGGCGGCCAUUCAAGUCGGAGGUGAAAGCCCAGGGCUCAACCCUGGAAAUUGCCUUCGAUACUGUCUGGCUAGAGACCGGAAGAGGUAAGUGGAACUGCGAGUGUAGAGGUGAAAUUCGUAGAUAUUCGCAAGAACACCAGUGGCGAAGGCGGCUUACUGGUCCGGUUCUGACGCUGAGGCGCGAAAGCGUGGGGAGCAAACAGG